UACGGGAGGCAGCAGUGGGGAAUAUUGCACAAUGGGCGCAAGCCUGAUGCAGCCAUGCCGCGUGUAUGAAGAAGGCCUUCGGGUUGUAAAGUACUUUCAGUCGUGAGGAAGGUGUUAAGGUUAAUAACCUUAGCAAUUGACGUUAGCGACAGAAGAAGCACCGGCUAACUCCGUGCCAGCAGCCGCGGUAAUACGGAGGGUGCGAGCGUUAAUCGGAAUUACUGGGCGUAAAGGGCACGCAGGCGGUUAAUAAGUUGGAUGUGAAAUCCCCGGGCUUAACCUGGGAAUGGCAUUCAAGACUGGUUAGCUAGAGUCUUGUAGAGGGGGUAGAAUUCCAUGUGUAGCGGUGAAAUGCGUAGAGAUGUGGAGGAAUACCGGGUGGCGAAGGCGGCCCCUGGGACAAAGACUGACGCUCAUGUGCGAAAGCGUGGGGAGCAAACAGGGAUUAGAUAC
rnacentral:rRNA from 1 species